rnacentral:lncRNA from 10 species
AUGGAAUGGAUAAUCCAGGAGGAUUGGAGAUGGCAGCUCUGCAGGACAAAGCCCCCACUCCCUCAUGUGGUCCCUCUUCUUUCUGGCAGGGUUUCACCACGUUGGCCAGGCUGGUCUCGAACUCCUGACCUCAAAGAAUCCACCCACCUCAGCCUCCCAAAGUGUUGGAAUUACAGGCGUGAGCCACAGUGCCCGGCCAAGAAUUAAAGUAUUGAUGGAGACACCAAGGCUUAGAUGUGAAGCCGGAUCACCACUUGCAGACUGUACACAUUUUAAAGAACUUUUUACAUAAUGAUUGGACCCUUCUGCAGUUUGAGGAGAUAAGAAGGGCUCCAAGCACAAAGGUCGGGGGGACAUUUUUAGAGCAAUUUCUUCGAGAGAACCUUGCGUUGCUGAGUCUCUGACUUCCUUCAGGCAGGAGGGAGGGGCUGCUGCCUCCUCUUCUUGAGCCCUGUGAGAAGGAGACCUCCAUGGAACCAUGUGAAGAAGUGGUUGUUCUGGGCUAAGUCUGUAUAUCCUGUAUGUCUCUGGGCAAGGGACAGAAAAUGGGAUGUCAAGGGCUUCCCAAAGCCAGCGCUGGACUGUCCUGGGUUCUGUCCAGUAGCGCCACGUGGAGGAUGCCGGGAUGUACCAGCAAGAUGCUAGAAGUGAGAGGCAGUCUCCUGGGACAUACAGGAAAGAGGUUCCUGAACAUAGAAGCCUCAGAAGAACUCACAAAGGUACCUAUGAAAGAAAGGAUCAGCUUUAUAUGUGCCAACUCCAGUGCACCCAAAGCCAGCUCAGAAUCCCAACAGGUCAAUGUCAUGAGGCCAUUCCUGCACCCUCGCCACUGCUCUCACCUCCUGCUCCAUCCUUGGGAGGGGUCAGAAACUGGCCAGACAGCUUGGGAGGGAGGAAGGGAAUAAGGGAGGAGGAGGAGAUGGGCAAGGGGAG